AGAUUGAACGCUGGCGGCAGGCCUAACACAUGCAAGUCGAGCGGUAGAGAGGUGCUUGCAUCUCUUGAGAGCGGCGGACGGGUGAGUAAUGCCUAGGAAUCUGCCUAGUGGUGGGGGAUAACGUUCGGAAACGGACGCUAAUACCGCAUACGUCCUACGGGAGAAAGCGGGGGACCUUCGGGCCUCGCGCCAUUAGAUGAGCCUAGGUCGGAUUAGCUAGUUGGUGAGGUAUGGCUCACCAAGGCGACGAUCCGUAACUGGUCUGAGAGGAUGAUCAGUCACACUGGAACUGAGACACGGUCCAGCU
rnacentral:rRNA from 1 species